GCUCCGGUGCUCCCCCCUAACUCAAUUUCCUAGGGGUAUUCUUGACCCCCGCCAUCUAUUUUUUCUCCGGCCCGCCGCUGCCCAUAUCCAAGCCCCGUAGCCCAUAUCCAAGCCCCGUAUAACCCGUAUGACCCAUACGUAUGUAUACGGUGACAUCCCGAAAAAAAAGGAUGACACGACCCCACGACGGCCGAUCCAUCAAUCACGCAGCUCAAUCAAUCACGCAGCUCCUCCAUCAUUCUGGUGAGUUUCUGUAGGAAUAUCGGCGGCAGCGAUCUUAUCGCCGGCGAUCUCGUCCGAGAGCGCGCGCGGCACCGUCGUCAACCUCCAGCGCUCGCAGGAAAUGGCGGACGAUGAGUUAACUGAUAUGAUGUAUGACAUGGAGUUUGGAGAACUGAUGAAAGACUGGAUAGAAGAUUGGUCAGAUGAUGAAAAUUCAGAUCGUGGAGAUAGGUCAGAGAAUGGGAACGUAUUGGAAGAUCUUAAUGAAAACAAUGAGCAUGAUGAUGGUGAGGAAAACAACUCGGAGAUCUCGAAUGAAGAUUACAUUAGUCAGCUCAUUUCCGAAUGUCAUAAUGCGUACGACUAUUACGGUGAA